UGCGUGCGUCUGUGCGCGAGAGGAGAGAGAAGGAGACGCGCGGGUUCUCCGGAGAGAAGUGAUGGGGGACGAUGCGUGGAGGUGCCGGGAGGUGGAGGAGGAGAUGCUGCUGGACCGGGCGGUGCGCCACCCUAAGGAGUGCGGGGGAUCCGUGAACUGAAGAGGAUGGGCUGAGUGAAGAGCGGGGCUCGGAGAGGCAAGGGAUCGGUAUCUUUGUAAAAUACACCCCCUCCGGCUGAUUAAUUGUGCUGCAACACAACAUAAAUAUGAAACUCGCGUGCAUCUUAGCAAACUGUCCUGGAGGACGAGUGGGGUUGCAGUUAUAAUAUGAGGAAUUAUUAGUUCUGGGAGGGGACAAAAAAAAAAAAAUAUAUGACACGUCUGGCAACAUUUUGAAACACUUGAUGAAAAAACGAUGUCAGUCUUCCAAGGCUGAGGAUGGCGGAUGGGGGCGCUGUCCAGGGUGCUGACAGAAUGCUCUCGGCAGCUGACGGUCAUCAAGGUAGCAGGUGGUGUCGCGCUUAAUUCUCAUUUUUAUUGGUUCCUUCGUUUGAUCAAGAUCUGGUACAUCCUUGAAAUGGUCAAUAUCCAUCCGUCCACAGAUUGACUGACUGACUGAUUGAUUGAUUGACGACCGAUUGACUGAUAGAUAUGCCUAACAGAAAACCUGCUGCGCACAAUGGACGCUUUUUAGAUCCACAUGUCCUACAGAUCCCCACAUGGCUCUGUCCCUGUCUACCCCCAGACUCUAAUCUCUGCUAACUGUCCACCACAAAAUCUCUGCCGUGGCUUUGGCUGCCGACUCUCUGUGUCGGUCUGGAUGCACUAAAAAUGAUUGCUCAUUUCUCUCUCAUAGUCCCCAAGCUGUGGAAUGGGCUUUCUUCAGAACAUCAAAACUGUGCUCCUCCUUCUGACCUUCAAGAAACACUUGAAGAUCCAUAUAAUCACACAGUUUGGAACUGCUUACAACGAGUUCUAGCUGUACAACCUCAUACGUAAUCUGUGUCGGUAUUGUCUUAUUUGAUUCUUUUAAUAAUUUGAAUAAAAUUGUUACCACCUUCCAGUCAAAAGGUACAGGUUUUAUGCAGCUUAGUGUACAAAGCUAAAAUUUUAAGUUCCUUUGGAGAAGACUAUCAGGUAAAUGAAUAAAUUAAUGAAUACUGAAUAAAUGACAACAUCAACUAUAAUAACGAUACACUCCACAUGUUCCGUUUCAGGAAUUGAUAAAAAAAAUGUAUCAUAAAAUAACAAAAAGGCUGUUCAUAUCUGUGAAGCAACAGUGUCCGUAUAUAUGUUGACUCACCAUUUAUGAAGAUAUCUACUCUGCAGCGUUCUUGUCCACUGAAAGAGAAUGAGGCACAGAAAUCCCAACGAGAGGAAUUCACACAGUGAGAGUUGGGCCUCGGUGACUUUAAAUGGCUUAUAAUUAUUGCUCGUUUCAGUGACAAAGGCCACGGAAAAUUGGCAGUGGAACUUGUUAACAUGUUACAAGGAGCUAUCCGAAAGCCGAUAUCGGCAGGAGGAAAGGGAAGAGGAAACGGGAUCUCCCUUUGGAUGGGCCCCAGUAGGAAUUAUUCCAGAAUGUGGAGAGUUUAGGGUCAACAGAGACACAUCACUGGCAGGAAAGCCUGGACAUCUCUGGCGCUGAUUGCAGUACACAGUGUAAAAUCACUUUACAGUGUUCUUAGUUCAUUUUAUUAAUGUAUGCCAAUAAGUGCCUCGGAUUGAUUCCGCAGAGCUUUACAAGUAUAAAGUUCAAAUUUUUUUAUGGACAAAGCAACUGUGUAACAGGAUUGUACAUAAUGGAUUAUGGAUUACUUACAUAUAAAUAUAAUGUGUACAUGGCUGCCAGUUGAGAACUACACUGAGAAGCUUAUUAUUAUUAUUAUUAUUAUUGUUGUUUUUUUUUUUGUUUUUUUAAGUGAGCAGUAGUUGGCAUGAUAUUUACAGCUCUAUCCUUGCACUCAAACUAUGGAGUCAAAUUGCACCUCCUUUAAUACAAUUGACAAAAGCACUUUUCAAAAAUUGCUCCAGUAAAAUUUACCCAACUGUACAGAUUAAUGAACAUUUUAAGUGUCUUUGAAGAAAAUCAAUUUAAUAAGUCUGUCAAUAAAAUUCUUCAUGUUUCCUUGCA